AAAUUUGGUUUAGUAAGAUUUGGUUAUGCAUGAAGUCAGCUGACUGAGGAAACAAAGAGAGCACACAAGAGGACUUGUUGGAUAUGUCUAAAGAUGACAGGUUCUUUAGCAUGGAUGAAUUGUUCGAUAAUGCGGAAGAACAUGAUAUUGUCGUUACUUAACAUCAGCUAAGUACACCGGUUCUUUGUUCUGGGCAAGGUCACUAUCUCGAUACUCAACGGCAACAACAACAACAACAGCAAAUAGUAUCAGGAUCCGGGAUGGUGACGAGCAACGACAACCACUUCCAAGAAGACUGGUCGGAUGUAUUUAAUGCGAGUACUUUGACAUGGAUGCAAUAUUGAAUGAUAUGAAGACAGAGCAAGACGUCCGUCUACCUGAGAAUGUAUAAUAAUAUAGUGGAUUUUCCGGGGUACCAAUUUCUGGUGAGAUGUAGGGUUUCCACAUUAGAGACAUGAACUCGUUAAUUUUUUUUGUCGUUAGCUUUCUUUAUUACAAAAGAGAGAUCGAUAUCAAAAGUGAGAUGAAUUUAGCAUUGUCAUCUAUGUUUGGAUAUUAGGGUCAUGAAUCUAAUCUUGUGUGUUCUUCUAUCAAUGAUACAAAUUCACGUUACAAAAUCAUGAAACUCGUUGCUAUAAAUAUAUUGUUGAAGGUUUAUGGUGGAAAACAUAAAUAAAUCUGAAAU
rnacentral:sRNA from 1 species